ACGCUCGACACCUACGGUAGGCAGCAGUGGGGAAUAUUGCACAAUGGGGGAAACCCUGAUGCAGCGACGCCGCGUGAGUGAAGAAGUAUUUCGGUAUGUAAAGCUCUAUCAGCAGGGAAGAAAAUGACGGUACCUGACUAAGAAGCCCCGGCUAACUACGUGCCNGCAGCCGCGGUAAUCUGAGCGGGCUGGCAAGGC
rnacentral:rRNA from 1 species